CACAAACACACACACAGUCAGACACACACACACACACACUCACAUUAACACCCAAUGGGGUUUGUUCUCCAGUUAGAAAACAAGUGAUCAACAAAUGUACCUAAGACAAAUCCUUGAUCUCGUUCUAUUUGUAGUAGGUUGUCUACCGUGUCUGCGUCACUAAGGAUGUUGGCUUCCCAUGUACCCCCUGGCAUGUAUAUGAGGCCAGUGUGAAACCCUUGGGAAAACCCUGAGAUCAAAU